AUGGAGGAAUGCAUACCUUUGUCAGACGUAUGGCUCAACACAUUGCCCGGACGUAUAAACAACAUAUCUAUUGUUGCGACAGUAGUGGAUCAGUUAAAUGUAUUGAAAUUACAUCAAAAGUACAGCAUUGCCUUUAUAUAUAACAUAAUUUGUGCCCAAUACAUAACAUCCCUCCAAGCAAUGCCAAAGGGCAACGCAAUCAAUCAUACAAAAAGCAAAGUAGCAUUUUUGGCAAAAGUAAACCAACAGGAUAAGUCAUCACAUCAUAGACACACAAUGUCAGAGUCAUUAUAUAGACAAAGGGAGCCUCGGGAGGGUGGCGGCUCCGUCAUCUGCACAAAAAAUAUAUAA
rnacentral:rRNA from 1 species